rnacentral:misc_RNA from 1 species
GGCAGCGGCUGUACUCCUUUCUAGGACGUGACGAAGCGCCAACGCCAGACUUUAUGUUUGCGCCGUUGGAAGAGCUUCGUCAUUUCCAAAGAACAUCGCCGCCGUCCUCAUGUCCCUUCAUCACUGGAGAUUAGUACAACAGCGAUGUUGUGCUGAUAUAACAGCCAGUCUGUGUGUUUGGCGCCAACUAACCUGCCAAGGUUCGCAAGGGCGAACGGCCGCCCGAGCUUAUGCGAGGAAAAGCCAAGUCGACGGAUGUCGACGCCGGCGCUUGAGGCUGACAAACAAACGGGCCGGAAGCUCAGGUGGUUCGAGCGCCAUUUUGAUAAGCGUGAGGCCGGAGGUUCAACUCCGCCCCGGCCCGCGGUUGUCGAAAUUGGUUGGGGGCCUUGCUCAGCUGGGAGAGCGGUUGCUUUGCAUGCAUCAUGGUCAUCGCUCGAUCUGGAUUGGCUCCACCAGUUUUUCAGCAUUUAUUGCCGUACUGGGACGGGCUGCCGAACAAAUCAUCGUAGCUUUGCUGCGAGGGUGAUCGCGCCUCAUGCACUGCCAUCAUAUCUCUAGACAUGAAGAGUA